rnacentral:rRNA from 1 species
GACGGACGCUGGCGGCGUGCUUAACACAUGCAAGUCGAACGGAAAGGCCCCAGCUUGCUGGGGUACUCGAGUGGCGAACGGGUGAGUAACACGUGGGUGAUCUGCCCUGCACUCUGGGAUAAGCCUGGGAAACUGGGUCUAAUACCGGAUAGGACCGUGCUUUAGUGUGUGCGGUAGAAAGUUUUUCGGUGCAGGAUGAGCCCGCGGCCUAUCAGCUUGUUGGUGGGGUAAUGGCCUACCAAGGCGGCGACGGGUAGCCGGCCUGAGAGGGUGUACGGCCACAUUGGGACUGAGACACGGCCCAGACUCCUACGGGAGGCAGCAGUGGGGAAUAUUGCACAAUGGGCGCAAGCCUGAUGCAGCGACGCCGCGUGGGGGAUGACGGCCUUCGGGUUGUAAACCCCUUUCGGCAGGGACGAAGCUUUUGUGACGGUACCUGCAUAAGAAGCACCGGCUAACUACGUG